rnacentral:tRNA from 1 species
AGGGGUUUAUUAUAAUGGCUAUUAUGCAGGUCUCCAAAACCUUGCGAUGUGGGUUCGAUUCCUACAACCUCUGCCA